rnacentral:pre_miRNA from 1 species
AGUAAAGUUGCUGAGUCAUAUGGUAACUCUCUGUUUAACCUUUUGAAAAAUUGCCAAACUAUUUUCAAAGUUUGCUGUACCAUUUCACAUUCCCAUCAGCAAU